UCGGGACUACCUUCCCAAUAUGCCGUAUGCCUUUUACAUACAUAACCAAGAAGUUAGUGGGACUCCCACUUAUCUUCUUGCACAUAGUCAUCCAUAUUUUGAUAAAGUCAAAUAUUUUGACUAUCUCAUCAAAAAUAGAAGUACCGACUCUUCAAUAUAUGCUAUAAUUUAUAAAUGGAUUUGUCCUCCCACUAGAGACAAACUCUCUAGAUAGUGUGCCGCUAUAGCAAGCAAUAAUCUAGAUUGACAUUCCUGUUAGCAGCCUGUUGGGUUAUACCCAUAGGUGCUUCAACCAUAAUCUAUACUUGAUUGAUGUACAGAAAGUUCAUUUCAGAUUUCAUGCAUUUAUCAGAGUCUACUCAUGACGAUCUUUGAAUAGGUCAAGAAAACAUCAUUCACAAUGAUGUAUGGUGUAUCAUCAUUCUCAAUGACAAAUCCAUAUUUUGAGUGGUACACUACAUACUCAGAUUGACCUUCGGUGAGGUGUGUGUGAUGGUUGUGCUUCAUCAACAAGCAUAUUUGGUCGAGAAUCAACUUGUGGACACUCCACAAAUUAUGAUGGGAUAGUUCAUAAGUCUUGAACUUCUUAAGUUCAAUUAUCCUCCCAUUGUCUCCUUAGAAAUUUUUUUUCUAAAAGGUGGCGUACCUACCGGCAAAAUACCUUUUGUCCAGUAGAGUGGUAGAAAUAAUAUCACAUACUACUCUUAGGAUAACCUAUAAACUUAUACAAAAUCUGAUCUAGCACAAAAUUUAUGUACAUUAACUCUUUUCAUAUAAGCUGGCAACCUGUCUUUUUGUCUUUUCUAUAUCUCAUAUGGAGUACUAGUAAUAAAUUUUGAUGAUAUCUAAUUCAAAACAUAUACAAUAAUUUCUAGGGCAAAUCUCCAGAAUGAGAAUUAAAAAUUUGUGAAGCAUAUUAAAGAAUACACCAUAUUUCAUAUGAAGUGUCCAUCUCUGGAUCGAGAUAUUAUUAGCCUUUGAAUAUCAAUAUGUUCAAGACCUAAUAAUUUGCUCGCGCCUUUUUCAUGUCCAGUAAAUGAGAUUUUGGUCAUUUUAUUUAUGAGAAAAGAUUUACAAGUUCUUAUAUGAUUCAAAAUUAUACAGACAAAGAACUCUUCUUUGUAUUACUUGUUUAUCUUUGUCUCAUAAAAAUGAUCAAGUUGGCAGUGCCAGAGAUAUGUGACCAUCACAUAUUCAUUUCUGGUUUUCAUCAAUAUGAAGAACAAUAUUAUUGAGUGAUAGAAAUAUGAGACCAUUAUCAUAAAUCCAUAGCCAUAAAAUAUAUCAGAAGGAGAGUAACUUUUACUCUUUACAUUAAUUUCAAAAUCAUGCUACAAUAGCAAAAGAUUUGUGUUGGUGCAGAAUUUCGCCGAAGCCAGAGUUGCUGGAGUUGAGAUGACUGCGGACGCCGCCAGAACCUGCAAGAAAAGUCUAAACCGGAGUUGGGGGUGCUCCGGCAAGAUCCUCCGAUGCUCAAGUCAGUACUCUGCUUCAACAGAAAUGGAGUGCUCGAGUGAAAAUUUUAGUAGAGUUUUGGGAUAGAGUUUAGAGCUUAGAGAAGAACGUAUCUGGAGGUCC
rnacentral:lncRNA from 1 species